AACGAACGCUGGCGGCAGGCCUAACGCAUGCAAGUCGAACGCUCCGCAAGGGGAGUGGCGCACGGGUGAGUAACGCGUGGGAAUCUACCAUAUAGUAAGGGAUAACAGUUGGAAACGACUGCUAAUACCAUAUACGCCCUCCGGGGGAAAGAUUUAUCGCUAUAUGAUGAGCCCGCGUAAGAUUAGCUAGUUGGUGAGGUAAUGGCUCACCAAGGCUACGAUCUUUAGCUGGUCUGAGAGGAUGAUCAGCCACACUGGAACUGAGACACGGUCCAGACUCCUACGGGAGGCAGCAGUGGGGAAUAUUGGACAAUGGGCGCAAGCCUGAUCCAGCCAUGCCGCGUGAAUGAUGAAGGCCUUAGGGUUGUAAAGUUCUCUCGCCGUCGAGGAUAAUGACUGUAGACGGAUAAGAAGCCCCGGCUAACUUCGUGCCAGCCGCCGCAGUAA
rnacentral:rRNA from 1 species